UACGAAGGGGGCGAGCGUUGUUCGGAUUUACUGGGCGUAAAGGGCGCGUAGGCGGCGCAAGAAGUCAGGCGUGAAAGCCCCGGGCUCAACCUGGGAAUUGCGCUUGGGACUGUUGUGCUUGAGUUCGGGAGAGGAGAGUGGAAUUCCCAGUGUAGAGGUGAAAUUCGUAGAUAUUGGGAAGAACACCGGUGGCGAAGGCGGCUCUCUGGACCGAGACUGACGCUGAGGCGCGAAAGCGUGGGGAGCAAACAGG
rnacentral:rRNA from 1 species